UUACGGGUGCUCUUCUUCGCAGCUGCAUGACUCACACCACUUACUUCAGAGCCUCCUGAGAUGACAUGAAUCACCCGGUCCUGGCGAGGUGGUGAGCUUGGUGCGUCUCCUUUGGAUUUCCCUGAUGCUUCUUUGCUAAGAUGAGCCUUGGCUUUCUCUGAAAGGAAUUCUCGGAGAUGCCCCUUUUGGAGCAGUUCGUUGACCUCGAUCUUCAAGGCGACGCAGUCUUCAGUUUUGUGGCCGUGAUCGCGAUGGAAGUCGCACCAGAG
rnacentral:lncRNA from 1 species